UUUGAAUUAUGCUAGAUCUAUUUUAUUUUGUUAAGGAGAAAGGGAUGCCUUGAUUGUCGUAUUGAUUUUCUUCUUCUUUUUGUUCCAAAAGAUUGAAACUGAAGAGCUGGAAGGAGGACAUUACAACAUCUCUUAUAUUUGCAAGAUGAAGCAGAAAGUCCCAUGCAGGAUGAUGCCUCUCUACAGUGGAUGAUGAAGGCAUUCUGGUUUGCAAACUCAGGAGAGGAACAAAGAACGGAUGUUGACGGGAUCAUAUCUAGAGAUGCGGGCCUACUACACUUCAUACGAGCAAGUGUGCUAAUAUACAUGAAGACUUGGGUUAUAUUUUUUUCUGAAAACUAGGCUACAACUUUAGUGAUGGAUGCAGAAGAUAUCUACACGAGACUACGUCUUAAAGAUGCCACCCUCAUAUAAUGAAAGAGGACAAUAGAGAUGGGUUUAAACUGGAAUAUUUACAUGAUAUUUAUUUGUUAUUUGUAUUAUA
rnacentral:lncRNA from 1 species